ACCUUGAAAUACCACCCUUUAAUGGCUGGUGUUCUAACGUGGGCCCCUGACCGGGGUUGCGGACAGUGUCUGGUGGGUAGUUUGACUGGGGCGGUCUCCUCCUAAAGAGUAACGGAGGAGCACGAAGGUUGGCUAAUCCUGGUCGGACAUCAGGAGGUUAGUGCAAUGGCAUAAGCCAGCUUGACUGCGAGCGUGACGGCGCGAGCAGGUGCGAAAGCAGGUCAUAGUGAUCCGGUGGUUCUGAAUGGAAGGGCCAUCGCUCAACGGAUAAAAGGUACUCCGGGGAUAACAGGCUGAUACCGCCCAAGAGUUCAUAUCGACGGCGGUGUUUGGCACCUCGAUGUCGGCUCAUCACAUCCUGGGGCUGAAGUAGGUCCCAAGGGUAUGGCUGUUCGCCAUUUAAAGUGGUACGCGAGCUGGGUUUAGAACGUCGUGAGACAGUUCGGUCCCUAUCUGCCGUGGGCGCUGGAAGAUUGAGGGGGGCUGCUCCUAGUACGAGAGGACCGGAGUGGACGCAUCACUGGUGUUCGGGUUGUCAUGCCAAUGGCACUGCCCGGUAGCUACAUGCGGAAGAGAUAAGUGCUGAAAGCAUCUAAGCACGAAACUUGCCCCGAGAUGAAUCUUCCCUGAGCCUUUAAGGCUCCUGAAGGAACGUUGAAGACGACGACGUUGAUAGGCCGGGUGUGUAAGCGCAGCGAUGCGUUGAGCUAACCGGUACUAAUGAACCGUGAGGCUUAACCUUACAACGCCGAAG
rnacentral:rRNA from 1 species